AUUGAACGCUGGCGGCAGGCCUAACACAUGCAAGUCGAGCGGAUGAAGGGAGCUUGCUCCUGGAUUCAGCGGCGGACGGGUGAGUAAUUCCUAGGAAUCUGCCUGUUAGUGGGGGAUAAGGUCCGGAAACGGGCGCUAAUACGGCAUUCGUGCUGAGGGAGAAAGGGUGGGAGCUUCGGACCUUACGCUAUCAGAUGAGCCUAGGUCGGAUUAGCUAGUUGGUGGGGUAAAGGCCUACCAAGGCGACGAUCCGUAACUGGUCUGAGAGGAUGAUCAGCCACACUGGAACUGAGACACGGUCCAGACUCCUACGGGAGGCAGCAGUGGGGAAUAUUGGACAAUGGGCGAAAGCCUGAUCCAGCCAUGCCGCGUGUGUGAAGAAGGUCUUCGGAUUGUAAAGCCCUUUAAGUUGGGAGGAAGGGCAGUAAGUUAAUACCUUGCUGUUUUGACGUUACCAACAGAAUAAGCACCGGCUAACUUCGUG
rnacentral:rRNA from 1 species